rnacentral:rRNA from 1 species
GACGUAGGGGGCCAGCGUUGCUCGGAAUUACUGGGCGUAAAGGGUCCGUAGGCGGUGCGGUAAGUCGGGAGUGAAAUCUCUGGGCUUAACUCAGAGGCUGCUUCCGAAACUACCAUGCUAGAGUGCGAGAGAGGCAAGUGGAAUUGCGGGUGUAGCGGUGGAAUGCGUAGAGAUCCGGAAGAACACCGGUGGCGAAGGCGGCCUGCUGGGCUAUGGCUGACACUGAGGCGCGACAGCGUGGGGAGCAAACAGGG